GUGGGGAAUCUUAGACAAUGGGCGCAAGCCUGAUCUAGCCAUGCCGCGUGAUCGAUGAAGGCCUUAGGGUUGUAAAGAUCUUUCAGUGGGGAAGAUAAUGACUGUACCCACAGAAGAAGCCCCGGCUAACUCCGUGCCAGCAGCCGCGGUAAUACGGAGGGGGCUAGCGUUGUUCGGAAUUACUGGGCGUAAAGCGCACGUAGGCGGAACAGAAAGUCAGAGGUGAAAUCCCAGGGCUCAACCUUGGAACUGCCUUUGAAACUCCUGUUCUUGAGUUCGAGAGAGGUGAGUGGAAUUCCGAGUGUAGAGGUGAAAUUCGUAGAUAUUCGGGGGAACACCAGUGGCGAAGGCGGCUCACUGGCUCGAUACUGACGCUGAGGUGCGAAAGCGUGGGGAGCAAACAGGAUUAGAUACCCCUGUAGUCC
rnacentral:rRNA from 1 species